CAGUCGCCGCGGUAAUACAGAGGGUGCGAGCGUUAAUCGGAUUUACUGGGCGUAAAGCGUGCGUAGGCGGCUUCUUAAGUCGGAUGUGAAAUCCCUGAGCUUAACUUAGGAAUUGCAUUCGAUACUGGGAAGCUAGAGUAUGGGAGAGGAUGGUAGAAUUCCAGGUGUAGCGGUGAAAUGCGUAGAGAUCUGGAGGAAUACCGAUGGCGAAGGCAGCCAUCUGGCCUAAUACUGACGCUGAGGUACGAAAGCAUGGGAAGCAAACAGGAUUAGAUACCCGGGUAGUCCCUGUCUCUUAUAC
rnacentral:rRNA from 1 species